GAAAUAACGUAUGCUCGUACUUUAGCGAUAUUUAAAAGUCAUGGCCUCUCUUUUUCUUUUCUUUUCUUUUCUUUCUUUCUUUCUUUCUUUUAGUGGAUAAGAACUAUGCAGUAUUCAUGAACACCUUGAGCCUGAAAAUGAGGAACUCACCAUUCUGUGAUCAUGUGAAUUCAUCCAUAAAGCAUUAAGACAUUCAUGUGUGAGCCCUGAGACAGCCCUGAAAAUGAAUGCAGCUUCAUGAGACUAGCAGUAAAUUAACGGGAGAGGGAAUGCCAAAACUCAAAGAAAUCAAAGUGAAAAUAGGAACACGCCAUUUCAUAGUUUUAAGAGCUGGAUGAUGGCCCAACACUCGAAGAGCAUCGAAGGAAGGAUCACAAGGGAGUCUGGUGCUGCAGUCGAGGAGCCUGGGUGAGUGUGGGUGGGUGGGGAGGAGCGAGAAGGGGCAGAGGGAAGGAAGAGGGGUGCCAGACUUUCUCCUUGGAACCAUCCACCAUGCUGCUCCCACCCAGAACAUCACAAGAUCAAGCCUCUGGACUCCAUGCAUCUAGCUUCACAUUCUUUCUCUCCUCAAGUGGGGACCAUGGCUGAAUAUGUCAUUUCCCUUGCAGGACGUAAAAUGGGCUUGGAUUAGAGAAUUAGGCCCAACUUAACUCUGCCCCCAGACUUGUGUCUGCUCCUUCAAGACCUGGACAACUUCCAGACCACGAGAACAGAGUGUCUAACAGGAAUCCGGUAAUGCUGUUGUGGUCAUAGCUUAAUUGCUCUGAAGAGGUAACAGGAUCCAGGCAAUAUCAAAAGCAUGUGAGUGCCCUCUGAGCUCAGCACUGGUCCCCAGCUCUCCCUUUUGCUGUAUCCGUGCCCAGGAGCUUCACCAGCUGGAGACAGUGAGUUGGCAUUAAACUCGAAGUAUGGGAGGUUAUGAGGGCAAAUUCAGGUUCUUUGACUGGCAGAUUGUGGCUUUAUUGAGUUAGUUGUCAACUUCCUUGAAUCUCAGCUUUCUACUUUGCUGAGGAGAUCAAUAUUUUUAAAACAUUUUAAUAGCUUUCUUAGAAAAAUGAUUCACACUCCUUGUAAAACAUUCAUAUCAUAUAAAGAGAACAAAGCAGAAAGUAAAAACAUUACACCAAAUUUAUACA
rnacentral:lncRNA from 1 species